rnacentral:lncRNA from 1 species
UCAUGUAGCGCCAGCCACACCAGGAACAGAAGGGUGCCGGGUACCUUCCGCAUGCUUGGUAUUCUCCCCGCGGGGCUCUGACCGCUGCCGCUCUCAGGCACCUGUCUUUCCUCUCCGUCCCAGAAUGGAGCCAAGACAAGGGAAUAAACGAAAUUCAAUAGUACACGGAGAUCGGGUGUCUGGGCAGCGUCUUGGAAAAACUAUCCACUACAGUACAGGUCAAGUGAAGUUCUUCUGCUGAUAUGUUCUGCUACUGCAUAAGAGACGGAAUCUAUGUUGCCUCGACUGGUCCUGAACUCCUGGGCUAAAGCGAUCCUUCUGCCUUGGCCUCCCAAAGUGCGAGGAUUAUAGGUCUUUUUUCCCCCCUCUGCUCCCACACCACAGCAAUCAACAACACAGAAGACAACUUCUGCAACCCUAUCGGGAGAGGAGGGGUUCUCUCCACCACCAGAUUAUUCCUGACUAGUGAUAUAAAUAAAAUCUUUCCUGGUCCAGAAUUGGUGUUGAGCCUCUCAACAAAUCUUUGAGCCCUGAUUAUAUAUAAGGUAUUGUGCCAGGUGCAGUGGCUCACGCCUGUAAUCCCAGCACUUUGGGAGGCUGAGGUGGGCGGAUCACCUGAGGUCG